rnacentral:misc_RNA from 1 species
GUAGGUGAACCUGCGGAAGGAUCAUUAACACGAAUUUAUUAUCCAAUAUAAAAAACCAAACGUGAACAUUUCUCCUCCCUAUAUUUAUUAUAUAUUUUAUAUAUUUCUAAAUAUAGGCUAACACUUAUAUUUUUAACCCCUUUAAAUUUAACUAGUUUCAUUUACUUGAAACAGCUAACACUAAAGAAAAAUUGAGUUAUUCGAAAGAGUAUACUUUAUAAUUUUUUUUUCGAUUUACGAAAUCAAUAUUAAAAGAACAACUCUUAACAAUGGAUAUCUUGGUUCUC